rnacentral:lncRNA from 1 species
GAGAAGGAGGACGUUUGAGAUGCCUUUGCUUUGAGACAGUGCCAUAGAAAGAUUUCUUGGCCGGCCUUAGAAAGUAAGCCAGCGGUUGCAAUGCAGAACUUUGCAGUCUUCCCUGGGAUGCAGAUUCCGUUCCAGGUGGGCUACACCCGGGAAGGCAGGAUGGAGCCUCUAAGAGUCACCCAAACGUUUCAGCCCCAGGCCUGCUGGCCCUGGCUGGUGGGCCUUCCCGCCUCACAGCUGCCCUCCCCCGAAGACACCGCAAAGGGUGUUGUGAUGACACCAAGAGCUCUUGGUAGGUUCAGUGCCUAAAGGGUUCACCCAUAGAUCUUGGGUUCUGAAGCCAAGUUGACUCCUGUGCAGCUGUGAAUAUGCCUGAGGAGGCUACGGCCUUGGUCUCUUGAAGCCUGUGCUACGGGAGCCCGAGGACACCAGCACCCACCUCUCUACAGACCUAUAUGAACACUGACAUCCACAGCCGGCGCUUUCAGAACCGACUAAAGCAAAAUCUCAUAAGGACAGUGUCAUGAACAGCAGUCACAUGCAGUAGACUCGCCAUGUGUUUCCUAGGCUCAGGCUCCUGACAUGGAGGCAGGACACAAUCAGUUGUCUCCCAGCCUCCCUCCUAGGCUAGGGAAACCUUGCUACUAAACUCCUGUGCGAGUCUGUGUAAGAAGGCUUUGAACUUGGAUGGGGCAGAGUCAGAAUGUUCUUCCCACAGGACGGCCUUCCAGGAAGAAUUAUAUGAACUACAAAUGAAGGCAUUGAAAGCAAGGGCAUACAGGAAAUAUGAUGGUGUGAAAAAGUCCAGCAUGAACUCAGACAGGACACAGACCAGGACCAGAGCCUCAUGUAGACAGAGCUGCUGCAGAAGGAGCAAUGAGCAUGCCUGGACCCUUGAGAGACCUGAGGAGGAUGAAGGAAAAUACGGACAACUUGAAUCCAUGACAGUCUUCAGUCUAGGAUCAAGGCCUCCUCACAAAAGCCAUCUCCUUGUAGCUGAGAACUCAACAGAAUUAGUGGCAGUGUCACAGGUCAGCCCUCUGAACCCAGAAGAAGGACAUUGGCAUAGGAAGCCCCUCUCCUGGGGUGGUCACACAAGUGGCAAUUCCUUGGCAGGCAUUGGAGAAGCAAGGGUCUUGUCAUUGAUUUGCUAUUUUGGACUGUCUGGAAUCAGUUGCGGCAUCACAGUCCUGUAACACCAGAACUCCCAGGCAGAGAUGGAUGUCUGCAAGUGCCAAGUGGCUUGGUCUACACAGUGAGUUCCUAGCUGGGGUUCAUAAUGCUACACAGAGGGGUGAUGUCUUGCGUGUAGAUGGUCUCUGUGGAUACUCCCUUGUGAGAGCAAAACUAUCUCUACUAUAUCUCUGAGGUCAUAUUAGCUAAAUAUACUAAAUGUUACUAAAAUACAAUACUCUAUAUACUCAGGUUCAUAAAAUGAUCAAAAAGACCAAAUUAAUAGAAGACAUAACUGUACUCCUCUAAUACCUUAAGAGAUGAAAAAUUUAAGUGUGUAUAGAAGAAAUCAGAAAACCCUGAGCUAUCUGCCUCUGGUUUUCAUGAAAUAUAGCAUUAGUGAUAGAUGCAUUGCAGAGACAAUGACUUCCUCGACAUGUAGGGAUAUAGUUUUGUUUUUCUGCUUUUGUUUGUUUGUGUUUGAGAUUUAUUUCAUUCAUUUAUGUGUAUGGGUGUUUUGCAUGCGUUGACAGAGAGAACAAACUUCCCACAAGUUUGUCCUCUGUUCUUCAUGUGGAUGGGGCCACCAGGUCUUUGUCACAGAAACGGAGCAUCGGGAAUUACAUAGCAUUCCUCAUAUGAACUGGAAUGUCUCCGUCUGAUGCCCUCAGGAAGUUACAUCACAGUGUGUUCCAACUUUUAGUAAAAUUGCCUUGUAGAGAAGUUAUAGAGUUCCUAAGGUUUCUCAAAGACUGAAUCUAUCUCUGCUUUUGACUCCCAUGGGAGAUGACAGAGCUGAAUUUGUGUGCAGUGAUCAGCUGGGCUAUACAGACACUGCUCAUCCAGAAACAUGGCUCCUUGGACAUCAACCUGUGAAAAAGUCCAGCAUGAACUCAGACAGGCCACAGACCAGGACCAGAGCCUCCUGUAGAUCAAGCUGCUGCAGAAGGAGCAAUGAGCAUGCCUGGACCCUUGAGAGACCUGAGGAGGAUGAAGGAAAAUACGGACAACUUGAAUCCAUGACAGUCUUCAGUCUAGGAUCAAGGCCUCCUCACAAAAGCCAUCUCCUUGUAGAUGAGAACUCAACGGGCAGCCACUUGACCGUCAACAACAACAACAACAACAACAACAACAAUAAUAAAGACUGUGGAUGUUGCUGCUGAUCUUGUGCACUGUGGAUUCAGAUGCUGAGUUCUGUACCCCAAGAUCAAGUUGCAGUCUGGACAUGGGUGUGCUGUCCCAGUCCUGUAACCUCAUAAUGCACAAGCAAGUUCCAGGCACUUUGGCCUACACCGUGAGUUCUCAGCCAGGGAUGUCAGUGCUCUGCAGCCGGGGAUGUCAGUGCUCCGCAGCCGGGGAUGUCAGUGCUCCGCAGCCGGGGAUGUCAGUGCUCCGCAGCCGGGGAUGUCAGUGCUCCGCAGCCGGGGAUGUCAGUGCUCCGCAGCCGGGGAUGUCAGUGCUCUGCAGCCGGGGAUGUCAGUGCUCCGCAGCCAAGGAUGUCAGUGCUCCGCAGCCGGGGAUGUCAGUGCUCCGCAGCCAGGGAUGUCAGUGUGCCACAGGGGAUGGGGUCCUGGAAGUACAUAGCACCACCGGCUCUGUGGAUGCCCACUUCAUGGUGGGAACACUUUCUAUAUUGCAUCCUUGAGGUCAUAUGUUUAGCUGCCACUAUAAUACAGUCCUGUUUGCAGAUGCCUGUGAAUGAUCAUGCAGACCAAAUUAAUGAGAAACACAACCUUACUGCCGUAACAAUUUAGGAAAUGAAACCAUUCAAAAUAAAUCACAAAACCCAGAGCCUUCUGCCUCCAGUUUUCUAGAAAAUAGCACCAGUGAUAACCACACUGCACAGAUAAUGACCUCCAAGACAGGCUGGGUCAUAUUUUUGUUGUGGUGGUCGUGGUGGUGGUAGUUGUGGUUUUUGAUGUUGUUGGCCUUGACUAUGCAUUUGGUGCCAUCAACCCUUUUUUUUCAUCCAAGUUUUAUUUUUUUCAUUUCUAUGUACAGGUAUUUUGUCUACUGGAUACAUGUGCACCACGUGCAUGCAGUUCCAUCAGGGACCAGAAGAGGGCAACAGAUUCCAUGUGGACUGAGUUACAGAGGACUGUUAGCUGCUCCUUGGGUCCUCUGGGAGAAAAACAAAUCUUCUGAAGGGAUGAGCCAUCUCUCCAGUCCCUACACUUGACUUUGUCCUUAUAGCUGUGUGUGCCCAUUAGUUAGACUGAAUCCCCCACAAGAGAGAGAAGUGUUUGGAGACCUAGAAGGACGAGUGCAUGAGGUAAGCAUACUGGUUGUCUUAGGCUGCCAAGUACCCAUAUAGGGCAUUUGUGUGUUCAAGAUCUAAGUAGGAUCAUGGCUGCGGCAACCUCUGGAGGACGAUGUGGGAAUCACAGCCCUAGCACCCUGUGUGAAAUUUGCCCAUGGUCCCAAAGUUCUGCAGCUUCUAGUCAAAGGUUAGUGUCAACGGAGGAAGUCCUAGGAGGUAUCUGGAAACUGUGGUCCGGGCCCUCAUCACUAGCUUCAGGAGGACCUGUAUCUUUCUUACGUAUUUAUUUGUGUGUGAUGCUGGGCCCUGAACCCAGAGCUCCACCCACGCUAGGUCAACUUCCUAUCACUAACCAGGUGCCCAGCCCAAGAACUGGGUUUAUAUAUGUGGAUGCAGAUAUACAUGGCUUGCAUUUCUUUAUUUUUCUUUCCCUCUUUCACACAUCUAUAUAUACAUAUAUUACUAAUGACUGAAAAGAAAUGCCACACUAUGUCCCCUCUCCCUCUUAUUUGGACCCCUUUCUCCCUCUACAUUGUCACUUUUCUGCUUUCACAUCUCAUAUGCACUUCUAUACACCUAUCUAUAUACAUAAUAUAUAUAUGUAUAUAUAUGCACACACAUACACAUGGAGAUAUAUAUAUAUAUUUUGAAUUUAUUUAUGGAAGAUUACUCACUUCUGUGAUUAGCGUGUAUGUGGAGGUCAGAAGACAACUUGUAGGAGUUGGUUCUCUCCUUCCACUUUGCAGGUCCCAAGGGUAGAACUCAGGAGGUCAGGCUUAGCUACAAGCACCUUUACCUGCUGAGCCAUUUCACAGGCCCCAUAUUAAAUUUAGAUUCCAGAAAACAAACAGUAGCAAGUGCUGGUGGUACAGGGAAAGCGGGACUCUUAUCCACUGUUGGCAGAAAUAGAAGCUAGUGCCACUGUUUUGAAAAUCAAUGUAGAGGCUUUUCAAAAACUAAAAAUACAGCAUGACCCAGCUAUACCAAACUCUUUGGCAUAUACACAUUCAUGUAAUAAACAGUAAGUUGCUCUUUCUGCUGUCAUUCCUGGGAUAUCCACCGGCAAGACAGCAAUAUCCAUGUGCUAGUAAAGGGGACAGAGACAAAUCACUUCAGAGACAGUUUCAGAGGACAGCACUUACUGUAUUGCAUGUGAGCAACCUCUUAUAUAGUGGAAACCUGUGAUUGGUUAGCACAUUACCUCGGAUUGAAUACUGAGUGUUCAUACCGCCACUCUAGGCAGAAGAGGCUCAUUAAAGCAGACUUGGAGAGCAUCGCAGAGUCCUCAGCAGGCCAGCUGCUUCAAGAUUCUAUAUGCUGCCUUCAGGAACAUGGUGCGCCAUGCUUAUUUAGAAGCCCAGGGUGCUAGGUAGGCUGGUCACCAGGUCACGCCAGCAUUCUCUCCAACACUUUUCACAGGAACAAGGAAAAAGAGUUGAUCUGCUUGCCCAUCAAUAAAUGGAUAAUGAAAAUGUGGUGCACACACAGUAGAAUUAUAUUCAGCUGGGAAAGAAAGUAAAAUUUGCAAAAUAAAAAAGGAACUAAUAAACACUA